GACGAACGCUGGCGGCGUGCUUAACACAUGCAAGUCGAACGGAAAGGCCUGCUUUCCCUUGUGGAUUGCGGGUACUCGAGUGGCGAACGGGUGAGUAACACGUGAGUGAUCUGCCCCCAACUUGGGUAUAAGCCUGGGAAACUGGGUCUAAUUCCCGAUAGGACUGCAGGGUGGUGCCUGUGGUGGAAAACGAUUUUCUAGUGGUUGGGGAUGAGCUCGCGGCCUAUCAGCUUGUUGGGGGGGUAAUGGCCUACCAAGGCGGCGACGGGUAGCCGGCCUGGGGGGGUGGACGGCCACAUUGGGACUGGAAUACGGCCCAGACUCCUACGGGAGGCAGCAGUGGGGAAUAGUGCACAAUGGGGGGAAGCCUGAUGCAGCGACGCCGGGUGGGGGAUGACGGCCUUGGGGUUGGAAACUCCUUUCGACCGCGAGGAAGCCACCUGGUUGGAAGGGUGGUGACGGUAGUGGUAAAAGAAGCCCCGGCUAACUACGG
rnacentral:rRNA from 1 species